rnacentral:lncRNA from 1 species
AUGGACUCUGUCCUAAACAGCGGAGAUGUCAGUAGUCGGGAAGUUGACACCGAAGAUGAACCAUUCUUCGUCGAGAACUACGAAAGUUCAGAGGGUGAAGAAAGUAAUCGGGAAUAUCACAGUGACUGUCAACAGGUUGCACGGUUCAGCAGAGGAAGGUCACCCCCGCUGCUCUUAGCUUACUCCGUCAGCUGCGGACCAGGCCUGCAGGACAGUAGCCCCAGCUUGGCUUCACAGGAACAUGAUGAGGAAGACGAGGACAGCGACCAACUUAUCGAGGAAUGGAUGAUCCUGGGAGGAGAUGAGCAGCCGGGAGACUCGAGCAUCAAGCUCAAUCUGAGCUACUGGAUCAGUUCUGAGGAGGACUCUGGAGAUGAAGAUCCAAAUGUAAAAUCAGUUAAAGAUAUGUGGGCUGUGUCAGACAAAGACAAGAUGUGCAACAGGACAGGACACAUUACCAACAGAUACUACUAUCACCAGAAAUCCUCCACUUGUAUCUUUUGUGGGAUCCAGGGCCAUCGUCAUAGAGACUGUCCAGAGAGAUCAGAGAGAAUGUCCAGGCUGCUCUGCGGACUGCCCCCGCUAUGGAACCAACACUGCCAGCGCUGUUGCAUGACAGGACACCUUUCUGAUGUGAGUUUUUCUGUUACACAUCAGGUCAGGUCAUUUGUGUCAGUAGCAUUAUUUACUGUUUGUGUGACUGUACUGCGUCGAAGAAACUCUAAAAAGCAUUGUUUGUUGAUGAAUUUAUCUGUCCUCGGGUAUGUGUGGGUUCCAUAUGUGAGCUCUUCGAUCUCUGUAAACAAAAAUGCUUUUUUCUGCAUUCUUGCUCUAAGAAGAAUUUUCUUCUCUGCUUUCUGUGCUUUCCUCAGGCCUGUCCGGAUACAUGGAGACAAUAUCACUUGA